AUCCGCUCAGAUUGAACGCUGGCGGCAUGCCUUACACAUGCAAGUCGAACGGCAGCACGGAGCUUGCUCUGGUGGCGAGUGGCGAACGGGUGAGUAAUAUAUCGGAACGUACCCUAGAGUGGGGGAUAACGUAGCGAAAGUUACGCUAAUACCGCAUACGAUCUAAGGAUGAAAGUGGGGGAUCGCAAGACCUCAUGCUCGUGGAGCGGCCGAUAUCUGAUUAGCUAGUUGGUAGGGUAAAAGCCUACCAAGGCAUCGAUCAGUAGCUGGUCUGAGAGGACGACCAGCCACACUGGAACUGAGACACGGUCCAGACUCCUACGGGAGGCAGCAGUGGGGAAUUUUGGACAAUGGGCGAAAGCCUGAUCCAGCAAUGCCGCGUGAGUGAAGAAGGCCUUCGGGUUGUAAAGCUCUUUUGUCAGGGAAGAAACGGUGAGAGCUAAUAUCUCUGCUAAUGACG
rnacentral:rRNA from 1 species